rnacentral:rRNA from 1 species
AGACCCACAGCUAAGGUCCCGAAUACACGUUAAGUGGAAAAGGAUGUGCAGUUGCACAGACAACCAGGAUGUUGGCUUAGAAGCAGCCACUCAUUUAAAGAGUGCGUAAUAGCUCACUGGUCGAGUGAUCCUGCGCCGAAAAUUUCCGGGGCUAAAACGUACUACCGAAGCUACGGCAUCAUUUAUGAUGGGUAGGGGAGCUUCGUAUGCAGGCUGAAGCAUGACCGUAAGGACAUGUGGACAGUAUACGAGUGAGAAUGUUGGCAUGAGUAGCGAGACGUGGGUGAGAAUCCCACGGGCCGUAAACCCAAGGUUUCCAGGGGAAGGUUCGUCCGCCCUGGGUUAGUCGGGACCUAAGCCGAGGCCGAAAGGCGUAGGUGAUGGACAACAGGUUGAUAUUCCUGUACCGCCAAUAAGCGUUUGAGAGAUGGAGUGACACAGUAGGAUAAGCUAACCGUACUGUUGGUUAUGUACGGCUAAGCAUUGAGGCAGUCUAAAUAGGCAAAUCCGUUUAGACAAUGCUAGGAUGUGAUGGGGAAGCCCUUCGGGGCGAAGUAGCUGAUUUCACACUGUCAAGAAAAGCUUCUAUCGAGUUUAAAGGCGCCCGUACCGUAAACCGACACAGGUGGGUGAGGAGAGUAUCCUAAGGCCAGCGAGAGAACUAUUGUUAAGGAACUCGGCAAAAUGACCCCGUAACUUAGGGAGAAGGGGUGCCUGUCUAUGACAGGCCGCAGAGAAUAGGCCCAAGCGACUGUUUACCAAAAACACAGGUUUCUGCUAAGUCGCAAGACGAUGUAUAGGAGCUGACGCCUGCCCGGUGCUGGAAGGUUAAGGGGAUCUGUUAGAGCAAUCGAAGCAGUGAACUUAAGCCCCAGUAAACGGCGGCCGUAACUAUAACGGUCCUAAGGUAGCGAAAUUCCUUGUCGGGUAAGUUCCGACCCGCACGAAAGGCGUAACGAUUUGGGCACUGUCUCAACAAUAGACUCGGUGAAAUUGUAAUCCCGGUGAAGAUGCCGGGUACCUGCGACAGGACGGAAAGACCCCAUGGAGCUUUACUGUAGCUUGACGUUGGGUCUUGGUACUACAUGUACAGGAUAGGUGGGAGACUAUGAAGCAUGGACGCCAGUCUGUGUGGAGUCAUCCUUGGGAUACCACCCUUGUAGUACUGGGAUCCUAACCAUAGGCCUUGAAUCAGGUCUUGGAACACCGUCAGGUGGGCAGUUUGACUGGGGCGGUCGCCUCCUAAAAAGUAACGGAGGCGCUCAAAGGUUUCCUCAGCACGGUCGGAAAUCGUGCGAAGAGUGUAAAGGCAAAAGGAAGCUUGAUUGCAAGACAUACAGGUCGAGCAAGGACGAAAGUCGGACUUAGUGAUCCGGUGGUACCGCAUGGAAGGGCCAUCGCUCAACGGAUAAAAGCUACCCUGGGGAUAACAGGCUUAUCUCCCCCAAGAGUCCACAUCGACGGGGAGGUUUGGCACCUCGAUGUCGGCUCAUCACAUCCUGGGGCUGUAUUCGGUCCCAAGGGUUCGGCUGUUCGCCGAUUAAAGUGGUACGCGAGCUGGGUUCAGAACGUCGUGAGACAGUUCGGUCCCUAUCCAUCGCGGGCGUAAGAAACUUGAAAGGGGCUGCUCCUAGUACGAGAGGACCGGAGUGGACCGACCAAUGGUGUACCAGUCAUGGCGCCAGCCGUGCAGCUGGGUAGCUACGUCGGGGACGGAUAAACGCUGAAAGCAUCUAAGCGUGAAACCAGCCUAGAGAUGAGGUUUCUCAUUGUUUUAACAAGUAAGGUCCCACAAAGACGAUGUGGUUGAUAGGCCGGGAGUGGAAGUACAGCGAUGUACGGAGCGGACCGGUACUAAUAGACCGAGGACUUGACUUA